UACAGAGGUCUCAAGCGUUGUUCGGAUUCAUUGGGCGUAAAGGGUGCGUAGGUGGCGUGGUAAGUCUGGUGUGAAAUCCCGGGGCUCAACCCCGGAACUGCAUUGGAUACUGCCUUGCUAGAGUACUGGAGAGGGAACUGGAAUUUACGGUGUAGCAGUGAAAUGCGUAGAGAUCGUAAGGAAGGCCAGUGGCGAAGGCGAGUUCCUGGACAGUUACUGACGCUGAGGCACGAAGGCCAGGGGAGCAAACGGG
rnacentral:rRNA from 1 species